CACCCCAAGGAGCAACACCAGGGUGGGGAAGCGACCUUCUGUGUAGGUGGGAAGGGCAGCUCCCCACAGCUCCCAGCAGCUGGGAUGGUCUGGCUGGAUAAACCCCUGGGUGGGUCCUGCUUUAUCAGUUCCCCACAGACUUCCGGCAGGAAUGUUCCCAUCCAGUACUGACCUCUAACCCCAACCCGCCUCGGUGUGAAGAACGACUGCCUCGGCCUCUCCCGCUUGGAGGACCAGCAGACGCCUCUGGAGCAACUGGGGCAUCCCCAUGGCAACCAUGCCAGGCCAGCUGGAGCUGGACUUUGAGGAUCAGGUGAUUCCUGACCAAGAAACAAAAGCAAAAACAUCCCAUUCUCAAUGACUUCAGAUGAAAUCUGGGAAUGAAGUCAGGGUACAACUGUAAGAGGAGACACAGAGAAGAACCAAGCUGGUUCUAAGGAACAGUACGUGAGAUGCCACACAGAUUUACGCUGUACCAAGAUCACUGCCAACUUAUUAUAUCAACUGGAAAGUGUCCUCACUGUCUGGACGACUGGAUACGUAUUUUAUUGGGAAUAUGAUUUUUCUCUCUGCAUUCUCUACACUGGUAGGUCGAGUCAGUAUGUGAAAACUUCUAUGUGAAAAAAAUAAGAACAAAACAAUAAAAAUCACAUGUCUCAAUGCAAA